ACGAACGCUGGCGGCGUGCUUAACACAUGCAAGUCGAACGGAAAGGCCCUGCUUUUGUGGGGUGCUCGAGUGGCGAACGGGUGAGUAACACGUGAGUAACCUGCCCUUGACUUUGGGAUAACUUCAGGAAACUGGGGCUAAUACCGGAUAGGAGCUCCUGCUGCAUGGUGGGGGUUGGAAAGUUUCGGCGGUUGGGGAUGGACUCGCGGCUUAUGAGCUUGUUGGUGGGGUAGUGGCUUACCAAGGCUUUGACGGGUAGCCGGCCUGAGAGGGUGACCGGCCACAUUGGGACUGAGAUACGGCCCAGACGCCUACGGGAGGCAGCAGUGGGGAAUAUUGCACAAUGGGCGGAAGCCUGAUGCAGCAACGCCGCGUGCGGGAUGACGGCCUUCGGGUUGUAAACCGCUUUCGCCUGUGACGAAGCGUGAGUGACGGUAAUGGGUAAAGAAGCACCGGCUAACUACGUG
rnacentral:rRNA from 1 species